AUUCUAAAAUCUGACUAAACGAUCUAAAAACCAGUCUAACCAGUUAAUGUGAUACACACCUCAGAAAUACCUUCAGUUUAUGAAGAGACGCUGCGUUACGACACAGACGACUGAUUUUACUGCAGAAUCCAGAAAUAUAAAGGUUCCCCUGAGAAAAGUGAGCCCCUUUCCCUCCCAAUCGGUGGAACCUCCCGGUGGGUUAAAACAACCCCUGAACUGGAGCGAUUUGGGUCCCCAGCUUUAUUAAAGACAGGAACAGGAGGGGUCGGUGUCGGCAGUGUUCAGCUGUGUGUGAAUGAAGAAGAGUAAAUGAUGGAUCUUCAGAACUCCAGCAGUGUAG